rnacentral:rRNA from 1 species
UGAACGCUGGCGGCGUGCUUAACACAUGCAAGUCGAACGAACCUUCGGGUUAGUGGCGGACGGGUGAGUAACGCGUGAGAAUCUGCCCUCAGGAGGGGGAAGUAACGGCUGGAAACGGCCGCUAAUACCCCAUAUGCCGCGAGGUGAAACGAAUUUCGCCUGAGGAUGAGCUCGCGUCUGAUUAGCUAGUUGGUGGGGUAAGAGCCUACCAAGGCAUCGAUCAGUAGCUGGUCUGAGAGGAUGAUCAGCCACACUGGGACUGAGACACGGCCCAGACUCCUACGGGAGGCAGCAGUGGGGAAUUUUCCGCAAUGGGCGAAAGCCUGACGGAGCAACGCCGCGUGAGGGAUGAAAGGCCUCUGGGGCUGUAAAACCUCUUUUAUCAAGGAAGAAGAUCUGACGGUACUUGAUGAAUAAGCCACGGCUAAUUCCGUGCCAGCAGCCG